ACAAUUCUACGACCUGGAGACAAUGUCACCCUCUACUGUGACUGCAAAGUGUCAACUGGAGUAUAUAUCGCUUGGUUUAGGAACUGUUCUCAUGAAUACCAACCUACUCUUGUUUUAAAGACACACAAGUCCAUUAAUGACAGGCAAAAAAAUCUUCAUUUUCAGUUUUUCAAGAAUGAGUCAUCCAACUCAUAUGACCUGAUGAUCAUAAACGUCACAAAUUCUGAUGAAGGACUUUAUUACUGUGGAACUGUAGAGACAAAGGUGGUAAAAGACAAAAACAAAAAUGUCUUCACUGAAGAAAUUUACAUCUAUGGCAACAUCACCACAAGGAUCACAUUAUAUACAAAUAUUUCCAGAACAGUGGAGGACUGUGGAGCGUGCUGGAAGCUACUGUUCUCUGUUUGUCCGGCUGUUUCUGUUCUCUCAGCUCUCUUCUCCUCACUUUUGGUUUACGUUCUUUGCCAAAAGCCAGAAAAAACUCAAGCUGAGAAAAAGAGAUGUGACUCGUCAAUAAGACAAACAGAUCAAACACAGGAUGAAAACAUGUGUUAUGCUGCCUUGGAAAUCCAUCAGCCAUCACAGAGGACAAAAAGGAAAAGGACGAUUCAGAAUUCAGAUUUCAGCACAUACUCUGCAAUCAAGACAAUCCAGGUGGAGGAGAUUCAGAUUUAACUAGGAGGUUAAAACACAAAAAGUGAGGAGCCCGUAUUGUAUUAUUUUGUUGUAUGUUCUUCCUUUAAAAAGAGAAACAUUUGCUAUUCCAAAUCCAUUGUUUUCAGACAGUUUUUGGUUGCAUUUUUUUUUUUUUUUUUUGCAUUUUUUGGGUGGGAUUUAAAUCUGUCUUUGUUAUAAUGAGGCCCUUUUCACUCAUGCACUGACUUUUCCAGACACAGCUGCAGUGGCUGCAUGUCUGAAAGCAAAUUUGUGCGACAGUCAUUCUGUGUUCUAUGGACCUUUAUGUUAAUUUGAAGUAAUAAUAAAGUAAUGUUUUCUGU